rnacentral:rRNA from 1 species
UACGAAGGGGGCUAGCGUUGCUCGGAAUUACUGGGCGUAAGGGGCGCGUAGGCGGACAGUUUAGUCAGAGGUGAAAGCCCAGGGCUCAACCUUGGAAUUGCCUUUGAUACUGGCUGUCUUGAGUACGGGAGAGGUGAGUGGAACUCCGAGUGUAGAGGUGAAAUUCGUAGAUAUUCGGAAGAACACCAGUGGCGAAGGCGACUCACUGGCCCGUUACUGACGCUGAGGCGCGAAAGCGUGGGGAGCAAACAGG